AUCGAACCCAGAACCUUCUUGCUGCAAGGCAACAGCUCUACCAACUGCGCCACUGUGCAGCCCAAAACUAUAUUACCUCCCAAAAUGUCCUCCAACAUAGCAUACCACAAGCAAAAACUAACACCAUUUGCUGGGAUCAAUUAGGCUGAUUGGCUGAGGCUCCAUCUUGGCCAGCCCAGGGGGCUGGCAGCUGUGGACAACUUGUCCAAUUAAGUGAGCACAAGAACUUGCCAAUAAUGGGUGAAUAAUGGGCCUUAAGAGAAGCGUGAUUCAUCUCCAGUGUGCAGCGACAGCAAGUCAGUUGUUCAAUGUGUGAAAACCAUAGAUUUCUCUUUUCAGAUCCCAAUCAAUAUCCUCCCUCCCAUGGCUUUGACAAUGGGCUUAAUGAAGGAUUAGACCAUAAAGAUGUUGGCAUCCCGGGUUGAUGCCAAUAGUUAUGUUCAUACCCGCUCGCCGAAUGCGCAGUGUCCAAAUGUCAACACCUGCUCCCCUGAAAAGAUGGAAACAAUCAGGCAGCGGUUGGUAUUAAACCCUACAAAGGCCUAGGCUGCUCCAAUUAGAUGAUGUUAGACUGUUAGGCAGCAGCGUCUGAUGAGUGUCUCCACCACGCACUAAUAUGACAAGCUUUUCCUCAUUGUAUCAACGUUGAUGGGAAAACAAUAUAAAAAGACUGGCAAUGAUGAUGAGCUUCUUAAACUGACUUAACAUUAAAUUACCACACUGACUCAAGACUUGCUCAGCGGGGAGGGAGGCCGAGGGGGGGGGUGAAUUUCAGUAAAAAGGUCGAAUGCAGCAACUCUUUUAUCCACGUUUUUUUUUUUUCUCUGAUUUCCCUCUUUAUGUCGUGAAUAAUAGUCAAUAAGUAGUUGAAAGGCUCUAAUUUCCUCUGACAUCACAUCCAGUGCUGAUCUCCCUCCCCUCGCUUUCACACUCUGUCCUCCUUUUGUGUCUUGCACGACCAGGUUUCUUAAUGUCACAUGUAAGGAGCUGCAAUUUAAAGGCAACUGGCAGUUGAGCGUUUAAUGUCCUACCUGUCAAAUGACUGCCGGCGGUAAUGUAGGAGGCCAGGAAUGGGAGAUAACUUAAAAUGAGAUUUAAAGACGAGCUUGAAAAACUUUAUGUUGCAGUACACUUUUAUUGGGAUUUUAUGCGAUAGACCAACACAAAGCAGUGCAUAAUUAUGGAAUUAAGAGGGACUUAUAUUGGCACUGAUGUUUUUUUAAAAGCUUGGACCUUCUGAUAAGCUUUCUUGUUUCUUGCCACCAAUACGUUUCAGUGUGGACAUGGUGCUUUCGAACUUAAAAGUGGCUUUUGACUUGCCAAAUUCUCCAACCUAACCUCCGGACUUCUUCAGCUUAUCCAGUUACCAUGGUUACAUCUUAGCUGCUUCUUUGGUUAAUGAUCUUCUUGUCCACCCAGUCAUUUUAAGGUAGAUGGCCUUGUCUUGGUAGGUUUAACCACUGACUUUCAACUUCAUAAGUCAUGUUGGUCUAUAAUAGCCAAAAAAGGACAUUGAGGUAUAUGACAAAAAAAGGGUCAAGUUCACCUGUGCAUCAAUAGUUUUGCAAGGGACUGUAAAUGCCAAAACCCCCAGCUUUGAUUCAUUUUUCCUUAUAAUUUAUACUUCUGUGACGCCAAGCAGUGAUGCCAGAGAGGCAAGAAACACCACCACAAAAGAUGAUACCCAUAAAGUGUCAUCGCAUUGUCCAAUUCAAGCCGGCCAUCAGUCCCUUCUCAACUUGAUAUUUCUUCCCUCUCCUGAUUCCCCUCUACCUCCCAGCUGUCUGUCUCCGUCGAAGCGUGCACACGGCACAUUGGGGUCACCAACAACAUGGAUGACAUUAAUACGGAAUGCACACUUGUGUGACCACGCAACCACUCCCCCGUGAACACAUUCCCUCGCCGAUACCUGGGCUGUCAAUCACAGACCUGGCCUGAGAAAUGUGUGCAUCGCCGGUCCAACAAGAUGACAAAAAUCUGUGCUACUGCAAACCCCUCCUAAUCUCCUCUGAUUCCGCUCAGACUUUUCUGCUUUUUUGGAACAUUGCAUAAUUGUUUGCUCCGUUGAGGCAACAUUUCAGUCUGCCAGUGCAUAAUUAUCUCAAAGUAACUUUGCUGAUUUAAAACUUGUGCGAAGGAGGAGGUUGAGAGAGGCAAACCAGAGAUGUGCGCGGUCCCAGCCUUAUAAGAUGAAUUUUAAGAUCAGGGCUGCACGAGUUUUUACUGACCGUAGUGUCAUGCUGUUACGGGCAGGGCAUUAUGGGAGAAAAAGCAAUUUGCUGCGGUAAAUCUCAAUGACCUCAUGAAUCACGCCCAUAUAAACAAGCCGAGAGCAGUGGGGAGACCAGCGCAAGCUGCCUGGAGAUUCACUUAAUGAACUUUCAGUUACUAACUACCUACAUACAGUCACCCUCUACUUUAUUAGGUAUACCUGUUCAAUUGCUUGCUAACUCAAGAAUUAAAUCAGCCAAUCAAACAGAAGUAACUCAGUGCCAUUAGGCAUGUAAACAUGUUCAUACAACUUGAUGAGGUUCAAACUGAAAGCUAAAAUGGGGAAGUAAGAAUAGUAGCUUUAACCUGUUGUCCUCAUUUUCUGUGUAUAGGGAAAACACAUACAAAUCUCGGUCAUUUUGACCCGAGGACAACAGGAGGGUUAAGUGCAAGACACACUGGUCCGAGUUUUUAGAAAACUAGGAAUGUAGAACGUCUGCGGAGCAAAGGUUGUAUCAGACCUAAAAACACAACACAACCAUCUUAACGAUGAUCUUAAGAUGAUAAAAUGGGAACAGCAGCUGGAAAUAAUCAGCACCAAAUAAUCAGACUUUGCAACCAAGAGACCCUUUGCAACCAUUUCUGACCACACGCAAAGCCAAACCUCAAAGCCAAUGGGCUACAGCGGCAGAAUAAUGUACCUGGUAACACGCUCAUCAACACAUAACAGGAAACUAAAAGGCUUUAGUUUAUUGAGCACGACAGAUUUCAAACUAGCAGAGCGUGUUUUUUGAGAUAUGGUGGGCAUUUGUGAAAUUUGCACCACUGAUCUGCAGCCAACAAAUCUACGGUAACUAUGAUGCUAUGAUGUCAAAAUGGUCCUAACUCUCUCCAGAAUGCUUCUGACACAAUGUUGAAUCCGUGUCACAAAGAAUUACAGGAGUUCUGCAGCCAAAACGACUGUCUAAUAAGUGGUCGGUACGUGUAAACUGACUUACACAUAAUAAUGUGCCACUGUAUUGUCACCAGCUUCAAACAACUGAUCUUGGUUGGAAAUUUUGAGAAAGGCCCACAGGUAAAAAAAAAACAACAAAAAAAAAACCUGUAGUACAUCUGAAAAAUGAUCUCUGUUCUCUAAGAAUAUCAAUCUGGAACAAAAAGACUUGCCUGACUUGAUACCAGACAACAACCUGCCUGCUUUGGGCUGUCAACAAGUACAAAACACCUGUCAUACCCCCACUGCCAAACCCUCUCUGGUAGCUCAAGCUGCUAAUGAUAAUGACAGCAAUCAAAACAUUGGCACUAAUGCUGUUAAUAGCGAGGAUGGCGCUAAUGAGGACACUACCUGGGAGGCUGUUUGCUUAAGCUGUUUUUCCUGGUUUACCCUCUGGGACCGGAGGGAAGAUGGGCCCCGGUAUCCUGUUGCAUUGUGCCUCCCGCGGCCUCCUCUGCGUCCUGAAAGGCCUUCAUCUGAGCCGGCUAACGGGCUAAUACACACCAAUAAUUACCGACGGGGGAAAUGAGGUAAUAGCAGAACGGCCUCAUGGGGUCGUGAUAUGCAACCUCCCAACCUCAGACUCUUCCUCCCUGGCGAUUUCUAGCAAGUUUCUAAACUGUGAUUUUUUUAUUUUUUUUUAUUUUGUUGUUCUCCAGUUGAGAACACACAGAGGUGCACAAAAAGAGGAAGAAAACAACACUCGGCUUAUUAAUGGAGCAAUUAAAAGUUGAAAUAUACUAGUUUGAGAUUAGUCAACUUUAAUGACUGCAAUGGCACACACACACACACACACACACAAGAAACUGACAUAGAAAAGAGCCCUUUAGCUUUUCCAUAAGGUGGUUUAUGUACAGUAUUCCUCUGUUCCCCAACAAAAAGCGGCAAGGAGGAAAGAAUGGGGGUGGGGAAUUACAAUGUUGUGGGACCACCUUUGUAAUGCUAAAUCCCAUUCUAAAUCUGCCAGAACUGAUUGUCCAUCAAAAGUAUCUGUUCACAAAAACAGAGGAUUGCAAGGGGGGCAAAUCUGGAUUUGGUGUAGGGGUGUAGAGGAUGGACAAAGCGAGACAAGGCGAUUCCAAAUGGGGAAAAAAAAUAUAUAGCACUGGAUAAAAUCAAAGCCUGUUUUGCUCAGCUUGCAGAGAAUGAAAAUAGAAGAACCAAAGGAUAAUGCUCUGCCUCUCAUCUACUGUUUCAACUGGCCACAAUAGCAAAGGGGGGUAUUAUUCAGCAGAGCUAAAACAGGAGAGGGAAAAAAAGUGUUAGAAAUGAGUCCUCCUGCCUCCAUUUGGCUUUGAAAUCUGGCAGUUGCCCUUUAAGAAGGAGAAUCUGCAGUGUCCAGUUGGGGAGGGGAGAGGAGCCCAGUCCCCUGUUCAGUCAUUAAAAGCGGUUUCUAGAAUGGCAUCCAUCUGCUGCCCCCUCAUUACUGCCAUGAGUGAUGGUGGUAAUGUUCCUAAAUACGGUACUGGCGAAUUGUCAUUGCGACCUUUGACACAGGAAGUGGACAGAAGCAAUGCCAGUAGUGUGCUGGGGACCAGAGUCCGGUCCGGCUUUCGGAGUUGGACUCGAUCCGGCCCGCCCAGCUCCCCACUCCUUCACAUUAGGUUUAAACGUCCAAUUGAUGACAAAGGAGCCUCACCUCGCCUCGGCGCCCUGUUUCUCCUUGGGGUUGACUGUGCAGCUGCCGGCAUUAAAAGAGCAGGAGGGUCUGUGAUUUUGAAGCGAUGGGGGGACUGCUCAUCACUUCUAAAUGUCGAUCAACUUCGCCUGGUUAUCUUUCUCCCCUACGGACCCGAUUCUUCUCCGUGCUGCCUUUGACAUAUGGAAAACUCAAAUGAGUAAUAAAGCGUCGCUAAAGAGAUAAGCUGUGACUCAGCGAACAGCACAUUCACCGAGGAUAAAAGCUUUUCUCCACGGCAGCCAUUUUGAUUUCACAAGCACAAGUCGAGUCUGGCAUUAUUUUCCCCUCAACAGAGAGAAAAUCUCUCCAAUGCUCAGAUUCCUCUUUUUUUUUCCUUCCUUCCUUCCCCGAGGCUUUCUUCUAAACUAAGCCUUCUUUCCUCUGCUCUCCAUCCUUAGCAGCGGAGUGUAUUGCCAUUAAUUACCUGCUUGCAGAAGCUGUGCAUUAGGCCUGCCAGGACACAGCAGAAAUGGAGCAACGCUAGAGAGAGUUUCUGUUGUUUUGGCUUCGGUGAGGAAUGUCUUACAGAGCAUGACACACAAAUACAAACAAAUAAACAAACCCCCCCCUCCGCAUUGUUGGCUCUAUAGACAAGCACACAACGGCUACUGCUAACAUGACAUCAUAUGCAUUCAGGAGUUAACCUGAAUAUUAAACAGCAAGAGAUAGACUUGUGCAGUAAAAACACACGUUGACCAGUAUGAAUACUCCACCGCCAACCAUAUUUUUUCUCUGAGGAGAGAAGCAUACAGCUCACCAAGGAUGGGCUCAGCCCUCCACCUAUCUCUAACACACCUUUCAUCAUUUUUGCAAUUCCUCCUAGUGCGAGUCUCUCCUCCUCCUCCUCCUCCUCCCUACUUUUAGUUUUUCCGCUGUAUCCCUAAGGCAUAUCCCGGAGAACCUCAGUGAUCCACCGGCUGUUUGUUUGGAGUGAAGCUGAAAGGGAGAACGAGCACCUCGAGGCAGAAGCGAAUAGAUAUGCGAGGUAAAGGGAAGCAAGGAGACGAGGACGAUGAUUGAGAUGAUAUGCGGAGAACGUUGGAGAGAGAAAGUCAGACCCGCCUUCUGUAAACUUUGGGCACUACAGCCCUCGAUCCCAACGCGUUCCAUGACACAGGCUAAAAGAGUGACCAACAGAAAUAGUUGUGAAACUGCACUCCGAGCGCCGCUAGUGGCACCUGGUAUUAAGAACCCGUUUUAAAAUUGAAUAUCCGUGAGGUCAUUAAAAGCGAUUAAGACGAAGAAGCAUAAACAGCCAAAAAGAAAAUGAGUCGGUAAGAUUCUACACUCUGUGAUUAUUUGAUUGAUUUUUCAACUUUAAACACAAAUACAAAGGAAGAUCCAAUUGCUAUUAGCUUCAAAAUGUUGUUUCUGUCUUAGCCUCUGAGGCUACAUAUCAAAAACAGUCUACUGAUAGACGGUAACCUGCAGGGUCCAUCUAAAAGGUUUUAUUUUUUGCUAAGUAACACACAAAUACUUCAAGAGUGAUGACAAAUAGCAUUAAACUGAUGUACCCUGUUGCUCAGGAAACCCAUCCACAAACACACACUUGUUCCACUCGGUAAAAAAAGGGGACACUCUAAUCCCAUAAAAAGGUGUCUUUGUGGUAUAUGAAACCGCGGCUCAGUGGUUCUCUUCAUUUUGCUGGUAAUUAUCAGACUCUGCUGGGGAGGCAAAGACAUUAAUGCUAUGUUACAAAGUGCAGGGAAGACUGAAGACACUGAGAGGAAGAGAACUGAAGGGGAAAAACGGCAACAAAGGCCUAUCAUUUAGGGUUCUUUCUCUUUAAACACAAAAAAUAAAGCCCCUCAGACACAAAUCCAAUCUCAGCUGUACUGGACGUGUCAGUGAGCAGCAAAUCAACAACAGCAAGUUUAACCAAACCCUGCUCAGAAAAAAGAAAAGUCCACGCUUCUGAUUCAAUUUCAUUAUUCCAGCUUUAAUUACUUGUCCAAUUUGGGGGCUAUUGCAUGCCUUGAUUAAAAUGGACACUAUUUAAUAACCCCAGCCCCAAUCUGAAAAAAAAAGACACACAGAACGCACCUUGAAGAUGAAAUAAUUAAAGCUGCGGGGAGAUAAGAUUCAUAUCGUCCUCUCUAACUUACUCCCUGCAAAUUGGUUGGUGCUCUACAGAGAGAGUAGAGUGAGAGCGGAAAAACAGAAAAAGUUAGAUUGAGUGACUGAGCAAAUGGUGGAAGGAUUUGAUCGAGAAGUUGUAGGUUUCGAGGAUGAGUGAGGGAGGGACAUGAAGGAAGGUGCUGAUUUGGUAUCGAUUUGACAGUUUCAGAAACUGGAACUCUGGAUGUUUUCGCACAAAUGAUAUCUGAAAUGGGGCUUCUCCCCCUUCACUCCCCCAACACACUCUCCCUUUCGGUGUUUUGAAGGGUAAACGAGCCGAAGAAUGUGCGCUGUUUCACAGAGUUUGACUUUGCUUGCGUACAGUGGUGGGGCCCCCCAUGGGGUGGGAGCGGCUAUUUAAAGCCAGGGACAGACAGCAGACUCCCUCUCUACUCCCACUAAGAUACAAGAGGAGAGAAGUGGGGCAGGACACUUCCUGCGUCCUCCACGCAAAAGCAGACACACACACACACUCUCGCUCACUUACAGUAUGCUUCAGCCAAAUGUGCUCAAGCUUCAUUGGAAACUCUUUUUUUUUUUUCUUUUUUCUAAGGACACUUUACGUUUAAAGAGAAGGCACUGGUCAUGUUCUUACCUCCGCUUAAUCAUACCCGUGGGCUUGAGGUCAUGAGCCAAAACACAAGUGUGGGAGUUUUUCACUUCCUGUCACUGAAACUGGAAAGGGCUUCGUUCAAGAACGUUGCAUCAGGCAAUAGUAGCAUCUACUGUGGACAACAGACAUAUUUAUGUAUUUUAUUUUUCCUGAUGUUGAGAGCAUGUCGGCACGAAGGGAGAAGCAUCUGUGUGGGAAUCCGCGAGUGUUUGUGGGGCUCCCGUAACAAGCUCUAACCCAUGUGCCCUCACGGCCUUGCCUAGCAAGGGUGCCAUGGUUCGUUAAGCUGGCAAAGAUGAUAGGGCUUGACAUCUAUUUACCGCCGCCACACAAACAUAAACAGGCACACACAAAUGGCCCACUUUGGCCAACGGGAUCACCUCUGGCUAUUUUAUGACUUUCUCCCUUUGACUCAUUUCCUUCCAUUACAACCCCCCCCCCCCCCACUAUCCUCCGUUGCAGAUCCCUCUGUCACGCCUUUGCUCGCUGUCUGCACCUCCAUACCGGUCUGGAACGAUUAGUGUCGUACCCGGCUAUCGGGUGGAGACAUCGAGGAGGUGAGAUUUGUGGUGCACUACAAUGAAUUCUAUAUAAAAAAAAUAAUAAAUCCCUGGCGUGAUGGCUUUUUGUGAAUAAAAUAUGGAGAAGAGCAAAUACGAUAAAUGAUUCACAUGCUGCUGAAAACAUGAAGUUUACCUCUGCAGUCAUUAUUUCACAUGUCAGGUUUGAAACUUCAAUGGAGUGCAUAUUUAAAUGAGCUCUGUGCUAAGGAGAUUUAACAAAAAUGUUUUACAUACAAUAUCUUCUUCAAGGGGAAAUUGGAAGUUUGUGAAUGAAAACUGACUAUGUAGAAGGACUAAUUUUAGCUUCUUAGCCAAAAAGCUAAAAAGUAAUGCAUUUUAACAUAUUUUUAAAUUGAAAUAUAUCUAAGAUUUGAAAAUACAAGGUAAGCUUUAAAGAAAAACACAAACACUUUCCAUCUUCUGUGGCCAAACACUUAUUUCAUCAAAGGCCUAUUUGUUCAAACACCUUUGCAAACACUUGCUGUAUUUCUUUCCAUUUGAGCUUUAAUACCAAAAGAAUUUUAUGAUACAGAGUUCGCAGCAAUAAAACACACAAAAGAGAGGCCACAUGUGAGCUAAAGGCCUAUUUAAAUUUUAUAUGUGGUGUUUAGCCUGCUUAAGCAUUUUACUGGGGCUUUCAGAGUUCUCUGUGAAAGUGAUCCAAAUGAAUCAAGCAGGGUGAGAGCCUAAUGCAGCGAGAUGGCCUGAGUGAGCAGGGAGAAUCACAGCUUGCUACCCUGGACUCAGGCAGACCAGAGGCGUCUAGGUCAGCACAUUUGAAGUUAAAAUCAUUCCUAAAUGGGUCUUCAGACACCCUCAAAUGAAGUCGACAGACAGUGCUGACCUUUUCAAACCAUACUGUCUGCAGUAAAGAGGGUGAAAGGGGUAAGAGAAGGAGUGCCAGACCUGAAUAGUUUAAAGUCCUGAUUGAAACUUUUCUCGUUCUUUUUUUUUUUCUGGUUUUGCAGCAGAGCCAAAUCCCUAGGAGAGAAAGAAAAGACGUGGGAAGGAUCUUGAUGUGUUGACGUGCUAUUUUUUCCCCCCCUCAUAACAGUAAAAUUCCCUUUUUGUUUUUUUGGGCAAUGUCUUUAUGUUCAAAUCUAGGUUACAACAAGAGCAGGGGUGCUGGAAUUUUUCUUUUUUGUUUGGAGAUCGGGGGCAUUUCCGUUUGCAACCUGCAAUUAAAUUAAACGACCCGAGCACCUCUCGGAAUCGUUUCUAUGGUGAAGGGGACUAGUGAAAGGCCAAGGUCAAAGGCAUGAGAUGCCAUGUCUCUCGUUACAUCAUUUGUUUGACCCCCACUAGAACUAGCUAAUUCAAUCACUCUCAAGAAUCCGCAAUUAAUCCGAGACAUUGAAAACGACGAAAAGGAAAAACGUCUGGGUGAAUAAGCGGCUCUCCUCCACUCACAUGCAAAUCACAAGCCUACCACAGGGGUGUACCACCAGCCCUCUCCUCUACUCCGAUUUUCGCAAACGGAAGUUUAAGCAUUCCCAACAACAGCAACACCAUUGUCAAGUUUGCAGAUGAUUGCCAGCAUCAUAUGACCGAUCAGCUAAAACAGCGGAUGAGCCUACAUGAAGAAGGGCAAGCAUUUGAACACAAGAGGUGGUAAUGGAGUUUAGAAAAUAACUAAGCAGACUUCACAUUCUGCACCAAUACGGACACGGCAGAGAGGAUGAAGACCUCCGUGUUUGUCGGGGUCCACAUCUCUGCUGACCUCAAACGAUCCACAAAACAUCUCACACUAGUUGAGGAAGGUCCACUGCCAGAUGUUUCUGCCAGGCCCGCCUCCUUCGACUCCGCUGAUUAAGUACCUCCAUAACUACUGCUGGGGAUCAGCUGCUCCUCUGCUAGAGUUGCCAGGGCAGCAGAAAAAUCAAAUGAGAUUACAAUGCCUCCCCUUAGGGACAUUUACAGUUGCGCACUCCAGCAGAAGGCUGGUAGUAUCAUUCAAGACCCCCAUGUUCACUGGACACUCACCUUUCUCCCACGUCCCUUCAGGAGGACACUGCAGUUACCUGCCCCGAUUGUCUGAAUUAAUUAUUGUUUAUGGUUUGUCGUAUGUGCUGUGAUUGCAUUUUAUGCUGAUCUCAUUUUUAUGCUGCGAAUCAAAAAUCUGUUUUCUCAUUAUUCUUGGACCCUAUGCUGUGUUCUUUACAACUUUAUGAGUGUAAUUUCUGCUAAAAACUCAGCCUCAUCGGGUCUUAAUAAAUCUCCCCCCCAAUCCCCAAGUGCUCGAGUGUAUGAGUUAUUGCGUAUGCAUGACACGCCUCGGCUGGGAAAUUUGUGUCAAGCGAGCAGGUGGGGCAGUCAUCAAUGAAGACAAUUAAACACCUCGGAGGCACCCAGCCAAAUCUUCUCUCUGUCCCUUGCUUCUGUGUAUUCUCCCCUCCCUCUUCCAUCUACCCUCUACUCACGCUGCCCCUGACAGAUGAUAAUUCAGUGGGAGUGGAAGGGGUCGCGGCCUGACAGGGAAGGGCAUCAUCAGCUGUGAUAACCAUCGGCGGACGCAGACAGUCAACAAGUUGGCAGUUUACGGAAAAUAAAAAUACAAAAAAUAAAAAGCAACAGAGGUGAGGAUAACUUUUCAAAGGCGAUCGAAUUUGCGCGUCAAACGCGGCGGCACUAUUCGAAUUAACGCUGAAUCAUUGCGUUUCGGUGAAGGGUGACGAGGGUACGCCCUGUGCUCCGAUGACGCCACACUGCUUACUCAUCCUAACUUGACUCCCUUGUGUACGCGGAGUCAAACGCGAGGAGGCAAAGGCACGGAAAAGUAUCUCGGGACCGAGGUCAAAGGGGCUCUCGGUUUCACCGUCAGAUGCUUGCUAAUUACAAGGGGGCCGAUGUGUAUAGUCGCCGGAAUAUUCUAGAAGGACAAAAAUACUUCAGUCACUUCCAUGUCCUCAAAGGAGGGAUUAUAGUUCAACACUAGAGAGAGACGGAGAGAGAGCGAAAGGGGAAAGAAGAAGAAAAAUCAGUGUCACAAAUGGGGAUCGACUGUCAGCCUAACUAAUUAUCCACUCUGAAAAGAGCAAGCUUCAUUUCCCGGACUUAUGUCGAGGGGAAUCAUUUGUGGCGACCUCAUCCCUGCCUUUAUGAAAAGAAACAUUAAAUUCAUAAUAUCAGCAACCCCCCCACCCCCACCUCUUCCUGCCAUUCUCUGCAGCUCCCUUCACUGAGGCCCUCAUUUUGACGGCUAAUUCCGGUGUUUUCAUUACAGAGGCUCGGGCUUAAUUCUGAUGCAUAUUAGCGUAUUACAAGGAGGGAAGCGGGGACAGGAGUGGGGGGGGGGAGUAACCACGACAGCGCCCGGCAUGUAUCGGCGCUGACUCGUGGGAUAAACCAUGUAAGCUUCAACAACCCCAUGGUUACUAGACGCACCGAGGAGUCUGCUGAGCGACGGCUUCAACGCGGCUUCCACAUAUUAGCGCCACUUUAAUGUGCUGACACCAUUAGCUUUGAGUCUUUAACGCGAACGGCGGCUGCACCUCUGAUCCAAGAGAAAAAGGAGAGCAGCAAGGUCAAAGCCGGGGCAGUCGUAUGAUCGAUGCUAACGCGAUUAGUGACGCGCUAGCAUUCAACCAGACGCCUCAGCAGCUCUCCUGAGGAUGCCGGUUAUGGGCUCUUCUCUCCACAGCGACACGUGAACCUGGGAGCAGACGUGUGUGUGUGCGUGUGUGUGUGUGUGUAGGCUGCUGAGGAGCGAGCCCGUGGUCCAUAAUCCAUUUACGACUGUAAACCUGGAGGAGGGGGAAGACAUUUACUGUCAGGCAGCACUUGCCACAGACGCUAUAUCAUCUCCCCUGUCAGCGGCGCACACAUUCCCCGCCUGAAACGGUUCCAGCUACAGGGUUGAGUUAGAAACAUCACUUUUAAAACUUGGGUUUUUCAUCUAACUUUAAUAAAAGGCUGUAGUUACUGAUGAGCACGGUUUCCUUUUUUUUUUUUUGGUGGGGGGGAAAUCAUACCCAAGAUUUUUGGAAGAUUAAAUCUGAUUAAAGCAAAAUAAGGUCGACCCAUUAAUGCAUUUUGUUUUACUUCUGGAUGUUCAUACAAAACAGUGUAUAUCAAAUUAAACAUCUAAUUUGCAUAAUAAAGAGAAUUACACAUAUAAAAAAAUUGCAGUUCAUCUAAAUGGCCAAUAUCUGUGAAAAAAAAAUCCAUGUCUUUAGGGGGUGAUUUCACCUGAAGUGUUUUUGUUUUCUCAUGCACCAAUCAGGCAUGACAUGAUUAUCUCCCUAAUACUAUUUUACCCCUCAUUACUGCCAAAACAGCCUGCAGACUCAUGGACCCUAAAAGAUCCGAAAAGAUUCACUGCAGUAUUUUGUAACAAGUUGUUAGCACUAGAUUCAUCAAUAGUUGUGAGUUGGCGCCUCGACAGAUUCUGAUCUGUUUGCCCAGCAGUCGCUAGGAUGUUCGACUGGAUUGAAGUUCUGGGGGAAAUCGGAUGCCAGGUCGACAUCAACAGCAUCAAUGAGCCUUGGCCACUCAAGCCUCUGAUAUCGGCUCACUACUGCUCCUCCACUUUGAACACAUACGGACCACUGCAGAACAACCAGAGCUGCAGUUAUGGAGAUGCUCUGACCUGUUAUGAUUUGGCCCCUUUGCCAAACUUGAUGAAAUUCUUGUAUUUGCUCAUUUUUUCCCCUGCUUCUACACAUCAACUUUGAGUAGAAACUGUUAACUUUCUAUUAUGUCAGAUCUGAGUACGUCAAACUUAGCCAUUUAAAUAAAAGUUGAAGUUUAAUUGCAUCUAUUUUUUUUUAUUACCAAAGUUUGCUAGUAUCCCAUUCAUAACUUGAUUCAUAUAACAUUUUACUAUUGAAACCAGAGUGAAGCCAGCAGACUCUUAAAAGUGUAUUUUCUUUUUCAAUUUAUGUAGAGCGGUUCAAAACCCCGACAACAAAAACCUUUUACUUUAAUUUACAAACAAAAUCUGACAAGAAUUUAAAUGGUCGCAUCAUCAUAAAGUGCUUAGAUUCUUGUGCUUGAAAUGCAUGCAAAUCAGUGUUGUUGCUUUUUUUUUUUUUUUUUUUUUUUACAUAAAUAGCAUCUCAUUUGAAUAGUUAAACCUAUUUUCACAGAAAAGCAAUAAAAGACUGAUUUGCCUCAGUGUAGGUAAUCACUGUAUCUAAUGGGCAGCGCUGCCAUUUUCGUGACCUCUGACCUCUACUUUCGUAGAUUCGUUGUACUCUAGCGCUUUGUCAAUAAUAUAUAAAACAAUAAUAAAAUAAAUAUUUCAAAUAAUUCAAAUUUCACCAAGACUCUCAGGGAAGCCGAUUUGACCUCGGAGGAAACCUAAAUAAUAAAUACGACGGACGCGCUCAGCCUCGGGAGACCCGGUGCUUUUCAAACAUGCCCACUCAUCUCACAGCUCAGCUUUAUUCCACUGGCCUUACGCGGCGUGGAUAAAAGGCACAGUUGGCCUGAACUGCAGCCAGAGGAUUGAGACUUUUUUUUUAAGAAGGGCUGACAUUUACCCAGAGUACACUAAGCUAUUUGGCCUCACAGCAGUCACUCAGCCGCCCUGCGCCCUGCUACUCUUGCCGUGGCAUAUGGGUGCCAUUUAAGACGAUGUGAGGGGUGCAGUAUUUGGUUGAGGAUGUAUCAAGACAAAAAAAAGAAAAGAAAAAAAAACUCCACACAUUAACACUGUGACACACAGUCCGUUUCCCAUUAUGCAAACAUCUCCUCUCUCUCGUGCUAUGUGCCUUCUCGCAGACCUGAACUUUCGUUAUUAGACAGGGGCUCUCUAGCAACGGCUCCUUUUGAUUGUCACUGGUGGCGGCUCCUGUGAGCAGGUGUGACGGCCUCGCCAGCAGAAUUCGCUCUAGCAGGGACAUGCAAUUAGCCGACUCUCAGACAUCUAUACCUGUUGAGGUCUGUUUGCUCCAGCAGUAGAAAAGUACAUCAUUAAGAGCUUUUUUUUUUUUUUUGUCGCUUCGUGCCAGACGGGGGAGACAGCAGCUUUAGAUCAAGCUAUGUUCAGUGCAAAUAUCUGUCCUUAGAUAUCCAAGGUUGUCUGCUCAGUCCAGACUGAUUUUGCUCCUAUAGUGCUGGGUGUAAAACAACACUUUGUAGUUUUCCGUCUGAGGCAAAAAAAUAAUAAAAUAAAAUAAAAAAUUAACCAAGAAUGAGGAAGACAUUGAGUUUAUGUUGGAUUUUGUGUACAGGUGUGUCUGGGGCAUUAUGAAAAGAGUUAAUUCAAAUAUAACCGGCUUGCAUUUCUGAAUCGACGAAGCGACUUCUGUAACUUCUGUUUGCAGCGUCAUUAAAUGACAGUUUGAGGUGAGGAACCGUUCGGCCAUAGAUGAAGCAUUUCCAAAUACUAACCCGUAGCUAAGGAAAUUUAUCGAUUCAAUAAUUUUGGUUUUGCGCUGAAAACCAUUCACUGUUUUUAUAUCAUAAAUAGUGGUCAGCCUAUAGCUUGGUCAUGAUUUCUGUCUUCAACUGAAUUCUGAGUUCUUCUACAAACAACUAGUAUUUUUUUUUAUCCUCCAUGAAGCAGCUCAUCUGAUCUGGUUAUAAUCCAAAGUUGAAAAUUCCCCACAUAACAACCUGUCCGGCUAGUUGACAGAAAAUGAGAUUUCAACUGAAUUCAUAAAAGGAAUUUGCAACAUCAUUAACAAAACACUGUUGCUGCUAAAAUAGCAGUCAUUAUUGUUUGUAGAUCCUGCAGGAAACAGCUUGUGCAGUUGGCAGGUGUUAUUUGUAGCCAACAACUCUGGAGCACAAAAUUCUUGUUCAGCACGGUUCCCGAACAUCACCAGCUUUCAGCUGAAUUCAUAAGCAUCUUUCGCCACCAAGUCCAUAAACUCCUUUAUAGUCAUUAGCUUGUGUUUCUCGACGCUGAAGGGAAUCUGCGCUUGUGCAACUCCUGUUUGCAGCCGGUUCGGUAAAUAACACUCUGAGGUAGAAAAUGAAGAGGAUUCGGGAACAUUAAUUAAUAUGUUAAUAUUUUAUAACAAUUACAAUGGUAAUAUUAAAACUGUUUGCGGAUAUAAUACAGAUGCCUUUCCUAAAGUGUUUAAAAUACAACAGAGUGAGUAAAAACGAUGUAGCUCUAAGAUGGUUAUUUGGCUAUUAAAAUGUAAACCUGUCCCUUGUUGUGUUUGUUGUAUACAACCAGCAAAAAAAAUGACUCUAGCACUAUGAGUGCCGUGGUGGAAAAAAUCCGCUACCCAUGGAAAAUAGCCCUGCUGUAACUUAGACACAAACUUAUCCCUUCAAUAAGCGGCUGAAACUUUCCCACCAAAUCUCAUGGCAACACAACAGCGCUCACAGACACCGUCGGAGUUAUUAAUCUAUUAUUAGCUGCUGAGGCGGCUGCAGCUUCCCCUCGCCGUGCUCGCCCCAUUCCCACCCCGGCGACACAGGACUGUCAUCAUAGAUGACUGGCUUCUAAUUGGAUACAGUGGAGGCCGCAUCCGAGCUCCGCGUGCUGGGAGCGGCCAUCGAGUGCAGCGGAAUCAAAUUUUCAAUUAAGCGAGCCCCAAAAUGCCAGAACUAACGUUUCUCAGUGAGAAGCCAAGCUGAUUACUCUGCGAAUCACAUCUGAGGGGAGGUUUUUUUUUUUUUUUUUUUGCAUAAACUGAUUACAACAAGAUGACUGAGGAGAAGCAACGGCGACAAGAGCACUGGAUGGGGGUGCGGACCGAUCCGGAACAGAAAAUGGGGGGUUAGGGGGUGGAGUUGGAGCACCUGUCUUUUCCGUCUCCUCGAAAGAAAAAAAAAAAAGAAUACUGAUUUAGCUGUUUUUGCUGAUGAGUGGAAGAAAAACAGUAUGCCAACACCCAGCACAAGGACUCACGCUACAUAAAUACAUAAAUAUAGACAUGUACUGUAUAUAGUUGAAAUGGGGAGGGGGGAUUGGGGGGGGAAUGGGAGAGAGAGAGAGGAAAUGGCGAGGCAGCUGUUAAAACAUAGCUCUUCCCAGUAUCAGACGAGACUUGAGAGGAAAUAUGGUGCAAUUUUUUACAGCUCCGUGCCUGUCAGGGUGAGUAAAGAGACCCCUGUCCGGCAGACCUUUGCAGUCUACACACGCAUCUCGCUCUGGUGUCACUGAGUGGGUUGUGAACAUUUGCCUUUUUUUUUUUUUGCCUGAUUUAAAACAACUUGUUUGUCAGUAGUUCCUGCAUCGUUGAAUUUUUUUUAUUUUUUUUCAGUUUCUCCCAGGGAGCACAUUAGUCUGCGACCCUCGUCUUCACUCCAACACAAACAAGAGAUUUCAUCUCUGAAAAUGGUGGGAAAUGUUCAUAUUGCUCCAAUGAUUCUGCCUUUGCUCUCGGUAUUAGUUUUGCCGAUAUGAUAAAAAAAAAUAAAAAAAUCAAAAACGCAAUUCAUCAGCAGCAACAGAUUUCUUUAGCAGUUUGUCUUUUUUUUUUGUUUUCUUCAGCUCCCAUGCGUGUUGUGUGUCUGCAUGUGCAGAAGAAAAUGUGUAAGCAUUGCAUUUCAUUAGGAAGUCUGCCAUCUGGAUGGUAACUAUGCUUUUUCUUCUCUCCCUCUCUCAUGAUUCUCUUUUUUUUUUGCCCUAUUCACACAAUUGGUACAUUAGAUUAAAUUUAAAUGAUCUCCUGCAUGCGCGGACCGAUGCGCACGCACGCACGCACGCAUGCACACGUUAUCGCAAAAAAAAAAAGGGAAGACUCUGUUCCUCGGGUUGCGUAAUAUCCAGCGGAGGAUACAAUGGCGUCUGUUGCACUCCCACUCGCGCCCUCUCUGUCUCCCGCUUUCCUAUUAUCACCUUUGCCAAAGAAUAAACACUCUGACUCGGGGAAUUUCUAUCAAAGCUCCAAACUGCCAAAAAAGAAAAAAAAGCACGCUGUCUUCAUUUUUGCAAUCCUUUGCAAAAAAAAUAAAUAAAUCUGUUUUUAUCCGCUCUAUAGUCUUUCACCCUUCUGCAUCCUCUAACAACACCCCGCCCUCCACAUGCCAACUCUCCCUUGAUGCACUAGAAACAAAUUGCUUUGUCCACACGCGGAGUUCAGCCAGAGCACAUGAGCGUCGACAGCUAUAGUCUUUUCAAGAGGAGGGAUGCUCCGGGGUAGGGGAGGGGGGGAUUACUGCAUGUUUGUAUUAAGGUGGAUUAGGACUUUGAUGCUAAUGAAAGGUUUUGACAGUGGCUUUUUUUUUUUUUUCCUUUUUUCUUUUCCAAACUGGUCAGCGAGUCUUAAGCCCAGAUAAUGUGUGUAAGACCAAAAUGAAAUCACCAGAAGCCGGGGUAGUAAUAAUCAGAAAAUCACUGGGAGUGGGAGGGAGAAAAAGUGCAAACAAUCAAGAAAUGUCUGUAAAACACAAUUUUCGAUGCAAAAAAAAAAAAAAAAUCCAUCUGUUGUUAAUGCGUAUAAUCUGCAGCUGCUUUUGAUUAAGAUUAAACUCAAAGCCCUGUGGGUGGUUAAAGCGGGGCAGCAGCUUUAUUAUUAUUAUUUUUUUUUUUCUUUUUCAUAUAAAGAUGAGUGAUUUCAGCGGCGGUUUGGAGAGUGCAGAACAAGGUGAGAUGUAUGCGUGCAUGCGUGUUCUUGCUCCAUCUGCAGUCACUCAGGGAUUAAGAUGAUCUAUGCUGCCACGAGUCGACUUCAGAUUCACAACUUGUGACGUGACGGAGCCAUCGUUCAUCGUUCAUCCGUCCAUCUCUUCCCCGCUUUUCCGCUCGCCGCCGGUUAAAGCAAGAUACUAAACGUGUCGCCGUUGGCUUAACUUUUGGUGUCUCGUAAAACUCCCACCCAAUGUGGCUUUUCCAGCUCGCUGCUUUCAGUGUAAACAAAGUGGACCAUUACAGCCAUCAAUAUUUUUACUAUCAACUCCAUAGUUGUUUUUCUUUUUUGUAAGAAAAGAGAAUUUCCACCGAUGGCAAUUCGUCAAAGUAUUUGUUCUUUUAUCGAUUUUUCCCUACUUUGCUUUGUGACACACUAAAAUGUUUCAGAUCCUCAAAUAAAAACACAGACAAUGAUUAUCAGAGGAGUCGCCAAAAGGUUUUUUUUUUUUUUUUUCAAAUGACGAUUUUCUUUAUUAAAGCUAAACAGCUAUCAAAACCUGGUCCUUUGUCAAAAAAUAUGCUUUAGAUUACAACAAAAGUGUUCUUUUGUGACUUUGAUGAAUCAUCAAGAAGCUCUUGAGUCAUUUUAGUUGGCUUGCCAUUCUUGGAAAGGUACAUCACAGUUCCAUGUUUUCUCCACUUGUGGAUAAUGGCACUCAUUGUUGAGUCACUGGAGUCUCAAACCCUAUGAAUAGUUUGUUUUUUAAGCCCUUUCCAGCUGAUAGAUGUUUUAUUCGUAUUUUUUUUUGUUUGCUUUGUCUUGUUUAAUGGAUCAUGUAUUGCUUUGUGAUAUAUUUGCAUGUUAAUCUUCCCACAAUUGUAAGAGAUGGGGUCCAUUGAACGCCGCACUUUGCUCAGUCUCUACGGAGUCGGUCCUUCAUAGCAUCGCGCUAAGACUGCGGGACGGUUAAAAAAAAAGUUGUGUGUAAGUGAUUUAUUGCAUGAUUAGAUCUUGCUGAAGCAAAAAAAAAGAAAAAAA